ensembl:lncRNA
GGGUCAGUUGAAGACUGGGGGGGGGAGUGGGAUAAGAAGACAAAUGGACGGCCGGCAGUGGAGUGAUUUCCAAAACCUGAAAGAAAAAUGAUAUGAGAGAAGAACCAAUAUUGUGUUUUGGCCACUUUAUUUGUCCCACAGAGUAGUGUGAGCAUAUAGACGUGUGUGUGUGUGUGUGUGUGUGUGUGUGUGUGUGAGGCUUGUUGCAGAUGUCACCAGUAAUUUAAGGCCCCUUUUUGGUGCAACACCCACUCCUCUCUUGUGAUAAAAUACUGUCUGCAUCACCUGUGAGCCUGUGGUCUUUCCGUGUGAGUGUGCAUGUGUGUGUUGUACUCUAAUUAGCACUUAAACACACAGGAGAGUACUGAAGCCAGACAGCCGAUAAAUCAGACAAAGCUAUGAGAUCGUAACACACUAACAGAAAAUAUCAGCUGCUUUGUGCGGCUCGUACGCACUUGAUAAAUUGACAAUACGCCGGCUGCACGCAGCUGGCUCCUUUCCCGAUUCCAACGCGUUGGAUUGUGGGGACAAUUUUGUGUUUGCACUGCAUCUUUCUUUGUCUCAACUGCAGAGAUGCGAUAAGUAAUGAGACGCCUACCAGGACGGGGCUGUUCUUUUUGUGUUCAUUUGCUAAAACACGCCCGCUGCAUUCCUAUAUGUCUCCCUCCAAUUACCAGCAUUACUCAAAGUCAGAGGCUCCACCGGCACGUUCUUCAUCUUUCACUUUCCUUAUUCAUUCAUUUGAAUAUCCCAAACCCCCGACCGGCGGCGGCGGGCGGCCGGGCGGGCGGGAAGCAGCGCGCUCGCCGACGUUGUGUGGUGGUUUCAGGGCCUCUUUUCUCCCUCCGGCUGUGAGAGUCGGCGUGGCCCGCGUGCUGCUGGAAGCCCCUGCAGGCGUGAAGGAGGCACAUCCAGCAGGGCAGUACAGUCGUCCCCCCCUCCCUCCCCCCCCAGGGGAGUCUGGGGGAAUGAGUCCCGGUGGAGGUUUGUUCAAAUGCUAGAGGGAGUGUUUGCCCCGCGCCAGCCUCGCUCGCACUAAUGGACACGUCUCUGUUAUUGAUGGCAGGACUGCGGGGAAGAAAAAAAACUAUGUGCACAAGCUGUUUUGUGCAUUCGUUACACUUCAGCCACACAAGGUGACGUCCCGUUCGCCCUUGUAGGUGACAUCUUUGUAUUGGAGCAAACACUUGUGCCAUAAAAGAGUUGAAAUCCGAUCCGCCUCAAAGCUGCUCUCGAUGACGUAUUCAACAGGACCGGCUGAAUGUAGGUGAAUAAAAGUGCAGCUUCAGCUGUCAUUUGAAAUGCUGCCAGAUGUUGUCCCUUCUCUGCAUCACACCGCUAAAGAGAGGCCACCACAGCUUCUCUAAUCAAUGGUUUAUAAUGAAUAAGCUUCCGUGUUUCAUCUGGAAAGGGAUGCCGGUAUCGACAAACCCCCCCAUUCAGCUCAUUGUUUUGGUCUGACUCCAUCAAUGUGUCCUGCGAAGACGCCGAGUCCAAACGGCAGAGAGCGCAAGAGCGAGCCGGUCAAAGGUGACCGAUGUCUCCGGCGGGAGCGUCGUCGGGAGGACAGAACGUGACCAUUUGUGUGGUCAGACUCACAUGGAAAGCUGCGCACACACCAAGCGCAUCUAUUGUGAGGAAAGACGUGCAAUCGGCCGCCUCACUUUUAGGUUUUGCAAUGAGUGAGAUGCCGUUUCAGUUGUUUCAGUGCCGUGGAAAUACAGAUGUCGGAGAAGGAAACCCGCCGGGUGAAUGCACACAGCAAUUAAGUAAUAAAAGUGUUUACAGUGGACAUUGAAAGCUGAACACAAGUGACGCUUUUCUCCCCUUUUUAACGUUGUCGGGCUGUUUAUUCUCCCUCUAAGCUGCUGUAAAUGCACGCGUACAGCACCUGCCAUUUACUCUGAACCCCCUCUGUCUCUGCAGUUCCAACUGCUUUCACCUCUCCAGUUUCAGAGUGCUAAAGAAAGCACAGCGAGAACAACGCUGUCUGCUUUUAGCUGUAGGAGACAUUAUGUCACAUGCGUUACACCUACACUGAACUGUUGUGUGCACGCGUCUCCCUCUUUUCUCCUCCCGAGCAAAGAGGCCGAGGACUCGUGGAUGCGGUCGUGGGCCGCGGCGCGAUGCAUAUUCACGGCGGCAGCUCCCCCUCGCUGCUGGCAAGGUUAGCUCUGUUUAUGAAACCGUCAAUUACACAUAUUUAAUUUAGUAAGAGAAAAGAAAGAAAAAAAACGCCGCCACACCGACUGAAUCCAGACCGGGUGUCCCCCUGAGCACCGGGAUAAAUAGAGCGAGGGAAGAGCAGGAGGAGAAAGAGGGAGAAACGGACUUCAUUAAUUCCGUCGUCCAUCUAAUUGGAGCCCUGUUGGAGCCUACGGCUGAAAUGAAGUCCGAAUCUAAUGAGAAAAGAAAAGACACAGGGGGAAAAGUUGGAACUACUAAUAUCUGGAGAACAACCUUGGGCUAAAUCGAGACUUGGUGUACGAUACAAACCCUUGGGACGCCCCCCGACUCCCUCGGUUGGACGCUGAUUAAAAAUUGGACGGUAUUCUUUCUAAAUAAUGAGACUGGAGGCCUACCUGGAUUUUCCAACCCGAACCGAACCGAAAGUUUGCCGAAAAAUCCACAUGGCGCUGUGAUUCACAUCGAGGGGGACGACAAGAGGAGAAGGUUUGGGGCCGAGCGAGUCGGAUGAGAUUCACGUACAGCACGUUUGUUCCGAGCAGAGUAGGACAGCGUGGAGCGAGGUGGAGCGAACCCGCGCUGCGGAGUAGGAGCACAGAUACACCUCCACCAUGCUUGAGGGGUGAUGAGUAGAGAAAAGCAAUAGGACAGUGAGGAGUGUGUGAAGCAGUAGAGUUUAGAGUAGAAUAGUGGAGUACUGACCGGGUACAGCAGAGUACAGCAGAGUACAGCAGAGUACAGUAGAGUAGAGUAUUGUGUAUUUCAGCGCGCUGGAGUAAAGUAUGACAUCAUACACCAGAAUUUAUUGAAUGCCACACGAGGAGCUUCCAGUACCAACAACUGUCAGCAGAUCCCAGAACAGAGGACACGCUGUGCACCGGCUCAGAGGGGACGUCCGCACACACACACACACACACACUGUUCACUGCCAUUCCAACUGCAAUCCAAUUAGGUUUGAUUUCAAUUCGAUUACUGGACAGUGGAGUGGGGAUCCAUUGAAUGAACUUUACUUGGGAAUUCCAUUACUACUGAGAAAGUCAUUCCGGUCCGUAAUGUGGAUGGGAAACGGGUUAGCGGCUGGUAUCAAGCCUCCCUGCGUGACGUCGAAAGCCUGCCGCCGUCACACGGAGACAUCAUUAAGGCUCAACAGAAAAGGGAGCGGAGCCUCACGCAGGAAGACAUCUGCUACACGAGAGACCACAGACAGCAAACUGUCAAAGACUAUCUGUUCCCACAACCGCGCGCGUGUGUGUGCGCGCACGUGCAGUUCUGCACAUGUGUUUGCAGCCUUGACUGCAAGAACAACAGAUAAGCAUUAACCAUGUGCAGCCAUAAAGUACCAGCAUCAGGAGAUAAGAAGCCCACUUCAGCGUGGGCCUGAAGUGACGGAGACACAACUCUUGUUAAACCCAAAUGAACAUUUGUUUCCGUCAAUCACUUCCAUGGCGGUAAAACACACGCUUUCCAAUGCAGUCGAUUGACACCUUAAGACGAGGUGUUGACAUGCAUGAGGCAAAUAAAUCCAAGCUAAAAAUCCGGAUUAAUUCAUUAUCUUUUCGGGAAAGAUACAGAUUGUCGCACGGAGGUGAUUCCCAGACGCAGAGGAGGAGACCUCCUGUCACGGAUGCGAGCGGCUGUUGAUCUCAGACGUCGCUCCUCUCACUUUUUUAAUAUCACGCUUUUAAAAAAAGGAGAGGAUGUUGUUUUGUGCGGCAAACCCCGCCUUCGUCCUCCCCCCCCGAAUGCGUCUCUUCUCCCCACCCAUCGAGAGCCCUUACAUUUGAGUUUAUCCAUUACCCGUAUCCAUCAGCAUCAAUCACUCAGCCCGUAACCGCUCCCCGUCUACAGCACACACACACACACACACACACACACACGCCGCUGCCGGCGAGUAGACGCUCGCUGUGGUUUUUACAGGCCGCUGACACCUCUGCGCCGGCUCUAUUGAUUUUGUUGUCUUAUCCUAAUGAGCCUGGCGUCAACCAUCACCGCUCGGCCCGGGAGCACUGAAUUAAGGAGGGACGGCGAGCAUCACCUUGCCACCGGGCGCAUAUCAGCGACAGCUUCCUGAACACCAUCGGCGGCGGUAAAAAAAAGGAGCGGGCUGCUUGUCUGCUGGAGGUGCGUGACGUCGGUGCUGUGGGAUAAGUGCAGCCCGACCUGAUUUCAGGCCCCUCUCUCAGCGGCUGGCUCCUGACCCCUGCGGGGUCUUCCCUUUAACGCCCCUCGCUCCUCGCGCCGUGAAAGUGCUUUCAGGUCGCGUGUGCGUGUGUGUGUGUGUGCAGGUCGGAGCGUGUGCGCCGCGCCAUCUCGGGUGCAGGUGCUGACGAGAAAGCGGUGAUGGGGAUGUUAGAAGGCGGCUCGCACCCAUUACUUACUUACACCUUUUCGGAGUACCGGGCUGGAGAUGAAACACUUCUCCUUCUCCUCCGUGCAUCCGUUCAACCGCCGAGCCGUUAUGGAGGCUGUCGCCUCCCCCCCCCCCCCACUCCCUCUCACUCCGAAUGGUGUUUUGAUGUUGCUCCUCCAUCCUCGCAUCACUCGCAGUGGAAUCAUCUGUGUCGGGCGAAGGAAACAGUCCUCCCAGCUGAGAGUUUUGAUUCAGGAAUCACCUCGACCAUGAGAAGGCUUUCGCGUGUCGAUGUCGGACAAAGCGUUGGCGUUUGACGCCCUCGGAAGUCACAUUUUCCGCGCUGUUUAAAUCACUAUUACGUUUAAUGCGACAUAAAAUCCACAUCCUGCAUCUCAUGUUCCAACUGAACAUCCUAUCUGCUGCUUCGCUGUGAUGUGUAAAUCGCUAAUCACACGCAUUGUACAUCACACAUCAUCCCAUUGCCUUGCAUCUUAAAUCACCAGCUCCACCGUAGAUCUUAUCCUGUUACACGUGUCCCACACAGAUCUUCUUAUAUAUCUUCAUCUAAAUCUAUGUCCAUAUAAUCCAUUCUGCGCCCCUCAUCCCAAGCUGCUUGAGCCUACAUCGCCGACUGAAUAACAUGCUAAAAAAGAACAAAUCCUGGAUGAGGACAGACUGCGUGUGGUGGUUGAAACCCAAAAGACCCCAAAAGACCCCGUCUUCAGGGGGCACUUUGGUGAAAACGACCGGCAUGAUCCUAUUAAACCGACUGUCGCCGCUGUUUACCGCCGUUAAAGAGGAUAAGCUACUUAUGGAGUGAUGAAAAAUGAAGUGAAGCUCUGUUGUGAGAGUAUCUCUCAAUGUCACUCACCACACUUAACUGUUCAUGGAUGCUACGCCAACACACGGCAACACACGCCAACACACGCCAACACGCACCAACACACGCCAAAUACUAAAGUCUACAGUGUGUAUGAAAAGGAUUAUGCGCCGGCUGCGCUGUCAUGUGACAGUUUCGGUGACUCUCCCGUGUCAUUAGCGGGCCCCCGAGGCGAACACACACAUUCAAAGAACACAAAUGCGAGCUGCACAAACACUUAUGCACACACACACACACACACACACACACACACACACACACACACUCGCACCAAAGAAAGUCAGCAGGCCUUGGGAGCCGUGCCCUGACCUCUGGUUCCCAGUCAAAGGGGUGCUGUUCACCACCACACAACAGCACCACUGAUCCCCUGUGUUCCUCUUGUAAAUUUUGCUCUUUCUCCUCGGGGCUCAGAAGAGUCCUGUGGUGUUCUGUGAAAAGAAGGAGGGGGAGGAGAGAGGAGGAGGAGGAGGAGGAGGAGCAAGAGAGCAGAGAUAUGAAGCCACUGUCUGUGUGCGCCGUGUCUGCAUAAAGGCCGGGAUUGUGCGUGUGCAUCUCUGUGAGUGUGGGUGUGUGUCUCUAUACGUACAUGUGCGUAUAAAAAGAGCAAAGAACAGGGGACUUUAGUGUGGGAUGAAACAUAGCCCAAUGUUGCAGGCCAAAUAAGAUUAACUGGUCUAAUGGACACACUUAUUUUCAUUAUUCUGCAUCGUUGCUGCAGCCCGGAGGGAACAGGCUCGCCACUACAACGGUGCCCUCAUAAAGGAGUCUUCACCCCGUCCACUCCUAAUUUCCAAGAAUUCAUUCAUCCUCCCAUUGUGCCACAUUAAAAAUGGUACCUCAGCCAGAUUUUCCAUCUGUCUCGGUAAUUCAUUCAUUUAAACUGCGCACAGAAGCUACUUAUGUGGUCCGGGGGUCAGCGCGGUUCGCUGGGAUGUGUCCAUGAAAUUCAGUACAAUCCGCUUCCUUGAUACGGAUCGGAAUGCAGAUCAGUGCAGUCCAGUUUAUGGGUACAAAUAAAACCGAGGGAGGAGGGAGGAGCCACUCGCGCCCCCCCCCCCCCGUCUCUGAUCUAGCCCUCAUUAACACAGGCGUACAUAUGUAAAUGAGAGGAGACAGCAUGGAACAUACAAGCCUAUUACACAAUUAACGUGACUGCUUGAUUAAGUAAUAGAGAGAGUCAUUUAGCGAGUAAUUAUCUUCACCGCCUCCACGUUCACUUAUGUCUUUCUUUUUAUCUGCUCUAAACCCUCAGAAAUCUCCAGUUUCGACCUCGACCCGAACGCAAAGCCACAGAUCCCGAUGUUACAUAUCUAGCCCAGAUGAAACGCGUGAUGCAACGUCGCUGAGGUCAACAACGUUCCUCUAAAGUUACACCUGAUCCCCCUCCUCCUCCUCCUUUUGAUUACCCAAGAGCCGGAUACCAUCUAAAUCUGCCCAACGAUGAUGAUGAAGCGGGGUGGAGACAGUGUGACGGUGAGCUGGAUCGCCGGACUGACGCGAUUACAGCGGGCGGGCCCUCCGGGGACCCGCAUCUGGAUUUAGAUUAAACCACGCUCGUCAAACGCAAAGCACCACAUCUUUAAUGCGGCCGUAUAUCAGCCGGCGUAUAAAAAUCUGAGGUUCCAUCAAGUCCAUGUUGGGGAGGAGAGGCGGGGGGAGUUGAUUAAAUGAAGAAAGGGGGGGGGGGGAAAUGUGUGUACACGGGGUCGAUCAGAGCGAGAAGGUGAAACGAAGCAAAUGCAUUGACAUUGAAAAAAAAAAGGUCGACACGACGGCAACUGAGAAAAAUGGACUUGAAAAAGUUCACCUGUGAAAUUGUGAAUGUGGCUCCUAAAGGUGCGUAAUCAGCAGGGUUGGUUGUCCCAAAACGCACAAAAGGAAGAAGAGAACUGCCAGUGUGUGGUCACAUAGAGCGGAUAGUCACUUCUUAUUUAAACGCUUGUGUUAAACAGGUUUUAAGUGACUUUUGAUCAUUUGCGCCGUCUUUUAGGCCGACACAAGCAGGAUAGAGUCCGUCGUAAAUCAACUUUUUCCUCCUUAUACGAGGAGGAAUCAUGUUUGACGCUUUGUUAGAGAUUUUCGGCGCCAAAUGGAAACUCUGCAGCUCCCUGAAGUUCAGCCCGCAUGUUAAAUAAGCGGCUGCACCAGGUGGCUUCCGCACAUCCAUCAAACGGCGCGAUCAUCUGACGCCGAGCGAGCCUGGCGGGGGGGGGGGAAACGGACGGCACGUUGCUUUUCCUCGACGCGACACGAAAAGAGCGAGAUGGAUGACGAUCACAUGAACACGUUCUUUCGCCUGCAACACAUCGGCAGCGGCGUCCACGGCGGGGAGCGACUGGGGUCUGCGUGAGACAUUCUGUCCGUCGCUAAAGAGCACAGGACGGAGGGAACCACGCGGGACAUCCAGCGCCGCACCACCGCACGUGCUUUGGACACCACCUGCACUGAGGGCCGGAGAGGCGCCGCUCCACAUCCGUCUUCCUCUGUAGCUCGUUGCUCUCUCAAGGAAAAAAAAAAGAGCCUGUCGGGCAAUCAAUAUAGCGAUGAGGGCUGUUGUUUUGAGGCCUGAUAUACUAUGUGCACGCCGACACAAGAGUAAUGACUGCCAUCCACGGCCACUGUAACACUCAUGAAUUAUACUCCAGGUGUCCUUGUGGAGGACCGUCGUCCACCGUCAACCUACACCCUUUUCGGCGUGUAUGAAAUAAGAGAAUGACUGUCAGUUUAAACGUAUUGAUGGAAGAAAUAAUCUAAAGGCUUGGUACUGGGUUAUUGAUCCUGCCUACAACCUUGUUGGCCACUUCAGUACUGGUAAUCGGUAACCAGUAUCCCCCCCCCACCUCCGGGCCCAGCCUCAUGUCAGACUCCCUCACGAGAGCAGAGCAAGUGAAAUAAUUGUGCGUUUGGCUGCAAUUUACUCGUCUUUAAGGAGGUUUGGGAACCUCAACGUUGUUCACUGUUUUUUGCUCUGGGAAGUUUAUUUAUGAAAGGAACCGUCCGUUGAUUCAUAGACGUCUGUUUCCCAGGGAGAGUUUAUGGGAAGUCUUCUGUUUUCAGGCUUUUGUUGUAGCUUCUGGAGGUGUAACUCACUAGUUAGACUUGAAGACACGAAUCACCUCAGAAUGAGUGAGUGAAAAGAGUGAUGCUGUUCUUUUUCAAGCCCGAAUCUCGGUCGCCUUUCAGCCGUGCUGAAAAUAACUGAGACACAGACUUAUGUACCAACCCAAAGUGAACUUCACCCACUGCAGAAUCACUCCACGUUAAUUCAGAUUACUCGAUAUCAUCCAGCAUUUUGAUUAUCUUCAAACAAAUGUGGGAGGAAAUGUGUGGAGAGGAGACCGAAAUAUAUGCCGUGACUAAGACAAGAGCUUCAGGGAAGCUGAAAACAAUCAAUGUCCCUUAGUUCAGAUAAAAACAACAAAAUGAGAAUAUCUGCAGAUUCUUUAUUGAAACAGUGACCAGAGACUGUUGUUGUGUCUGGAAUCAUUUGGCUUGUGGCAUUGAAAACCUGCACAUUGCUUAAAUGAAUUUGUGAAGCCCCAGUAGAUGCGAGGACGGCGCUCCGUGGAGAUGGGGAGGUGAUGCACGCACGCACACACACACACACACACACGUCAGAAAUGCCCACACGCCUCUUCAUAGAGCGCAGCGACAGUCAUUAGAAGAUGUAAUGGAUUAGCCGCGGAUAGAGUGAAGGGAGACGGAGGGAAGAGGGAAGAGGAGACGAACCCAGAUGGAAAUGAUGGAGAUUGGCAGAUGGGUAAAAUGGAUUUGAUCGACCGCUCUACGGAUGGGAAGGCAGGACGCGCAGCCGACGCCUACCGCGGCGGCGAGCGGCAAUGGAAGCUGAUUACAGAAAAAAUUCACAAGGGUUCUCUCAUUCCAGAGGCAACUGCUCAAAGACGUGGCAGUAAUGAGACUCGGCGAGGAUCAGGACUGACUCAGACUCAGACUGAUUGACGCCCGGCGUUUCAAAUGCAGGAGGAGGAAAAAAUCAGCAGAGACGAGAAAAAGGAGACAAUAAAAAAGAGAGACCCGACUGACGGGAAUUGCGGUCGUCCGUAGGAGUCGUGGAGCUGCUCUGUCGUGUUUUCGCCGCGCCUCGCCGGCUCGUGUUCAUCUGAGGCAGCAGAGGAGCUGCAGGAGACAAACAGGAUGUCUGAGGGAGGACGAGUGUGCGUGCGUGUGUGUGUGUGUGUGUUUAUCCCAGGAAGGACUUCCUCUGAAUCCGAGCUGCUUGGGAGUUCUGUGGGAGUUCGCUGACACGGGGAAAAGGCAGAGGAAGAGGGGGAGAGAGAGAGAGAGAGAGGGAGAGAGGGGGGGAUCAAGGGCAGUUGCUCUAUUGAAUCCCACUUCUAAAAGAACACACACACACACACACACACACACACACACCACCUACGGGGGGGAGGCGGUGAUGACAGCGUCAUUGGGAGCCGGUGGUGAUGAACGUAGGCCCGCCUCACACUUCGCUUCGCCUCGACCGAAGCUGCUCCAGACCUCCGAGGGGUCAAACGGGGGGUCGCAGCACAGCACGAUGCUUCGAGCCUCAAACCUAAGAGUGGGAUUAGGAGGAAAUCAAUAAAAAAAAACUAACGCUGCGCCCCCCCCCUCCAGCAUGCAGGGGAUGGAAACGUCUCCAGUGGUACUCGAAUGGAAUACUGAAUAACUGUGGCUACACGCACCAACGUUCCCUUUAAGAUGGAUUCAAAACGACUUUUCAUGCAGAAAUAUCGCUUGGUCAAAAUAAAAUGUUUCGCUGAUUGAUACUUACUUACAUACUGUAAUGUAAUUUGUGCCUCAUCUUUGACUGAAACUGAUUAAAAAGAGUUUGUCGGGGUGCCCGAGAGUUCACGCCCGUGUGUCGUAUCCUGCAUCUUUAUUCUGUGCAGUGACAGAAAUCUCAUUUGAAUGCCGCGUGUCGUUUGUUUUCGGGCUCGAGUGAGUUCCGUCUGGCCAAAGAACGCAGCCCGCGGCCCUUCAGCGGUGCCUCGCAGUGGGCUGGAGCUCAACCUCUGCGGCUCGACUUGGACGGUGCUUUUUAUUUUCCGUAAUUAUUCCUCUUUGAUGGCGCGAUAUUAAAACGAAGCGAUCUCAGAAGGGAACGUCCCUCUGAAAUCGCUUUUUCUUGCACCUCAAAGGCUUGAACCUGGGAGGUUGGAGGCUACAAUCAGCGGCCUGCAUCUCGAGUGUGUCCCACAUCUAAUUUGAUGCAGAUGAAAAGAACGGGAAAAGCGCGGGGAAGCUCGCGCAGGUUUAUCCUCCCUUUUACUCCUCGGGCUGCAACCCGACCGAUGAAUAAUGUUCUCAGAUGUGCUGUGUGGAACGUACCGCUUCUUCCCCUCGGAGUCCUCGGAGGUUACGCAACCGGCGGAACCCGCGGCCGGUCCUCUAAUUAGACACGGGCCAAAGUUUGGCCUGUAAAACGCUGCGUAAUGUGCGUUUCAACGCCCCCUCCCCACGGACGCCGCCUCCCCCAUUUCCUCGCGGUCACGUGUCGGGCAGAGCUGUGGAUCCCACACGCACCCCGUCAUACGUGUGCUUACUCAUCACGCCACAUCAGAGAGGACUCGUGCACGAUGCGCCUGCCUGCCAGUUAAAUGUGGGGAGGCCGCGGCGAGGAGACCAAAGGGAGCGGAGAGCGAACCCGAAACCCUCCCACCCCCCUCACCCGAACCCAGCCUCCCGA